rnacentral:rRNA from 1 species
CCUACGGGCGGCAGCAGUAGGGAAUAUUGCUCAAUGGGGGCAACCCUGAAGCAGCAAUGCCGCGUGAAGGAUGAAGGUUUUCGGAUUGUAAACUCCUUUCGUUAGCGAGGAUGAUGUCGGUUUUUAUAGACUAAGCAAUUGCCAACACCGUCCCAGGAGCCGCGGUCUUACGGAGGGUGCACGCGUUACUCGGAAUCACUGGGCGUAAGGUGAGCGGAGGUGGGUAAGCAAGUAAGAUGUGAAAUCCCAGGGCUUAACCAUAGAACUGCAUUUGAAACUGUUAUUCUAGAGUAUGUGAGAGGUAGGUGGAAUUCUUGGUGUAGGGGUAAAAUCCGUAGAGAUCAAGAGGAAUACGCAUGGCGAAGGCGACCUGCUAGAACAUAACUGACGCUGAUGCGCGAAAGCGUGGGGAGCAAACAGGAUUAGAUACCCUUGUAGUC